rnacentral:tRNA from 1 species
ACAGUGGUUAUUCAGUGGUAGAAUUAUAGUCUUCCGUGCAGGAGACCCAGGUUCAAUUCCUGGCCAGUGCA